CACAGGGCCAGGUUCGAGGACGGCCACCAAUUGCUACUUUCUCUGCCAAUCCAGAUACAAAAGCAGCAGCAGCCCCGUUUCAGAACUCUCAGGCUUCCGUCGGUACGCCUCGACACCAACCCACCUCGACCUCCAGCACAGCAGCAGGCCCAGCCCAUCCUUCGAAACUGCGGGCUCAGACCGCUGUCCAGGCCUCCACCCCAGGCCCACCCCUGCCCCCGCCCCAGGCCCCCUCGCUGGUGGCCGGGCAGAGUGCACCGCCCCAGCGGCUGGUGCUUACCUCGCAGGCCCAGGCCCGCUUGCCCAGUGGGGAAGUAGUGAAAAUAGCUCAGCUGGCGUCCAUUGCAGGGCCACAGAGCCGUGUGGCCCAGCCAGAGACACCUGUGACACUGCAGUUCCAAGGGAACAAAUUUACCUUGUCACAUAGCCAGCUGCGACAGCUCACAGCAGGCCAGCCUCUGCAGCUGCAAGGUAGCGUACUCCAGAUCGUGUCAGCCCCUGGGCAGCCCUACCUGCGAGCCCCUGGCCCCGUGGUGAUGCAGACUGUGUCUCAGGCAGGCGCUGUGCAUAGCACCCUGGGAAGCAAGCCCCCAACCAGUGGCCCCAGCCCUGCACCCUUGAGCACACAAGUUGGUGUUCCUGGUCGAGUAGCAGUGAGUGCUAUGGCUGUUGGGGAACCUGGCCUGGCUUCCAAACCAGCUUCUCCUGCUGCAGGGCCAACCCAG
rnacentral:lncRNA from 1 species